rnacentral:lncRNA from 1 species
GGGCGAAGUCCAGCUCCCUUAGGAGUCCAGACGAAGUUUACUAGCAGUCGGGGUCGAGGACGGAGCCUGGCUCCCGUAGGAGUCCGGGUGAAGCCUUCCAGCAGUCGAGGUCGGGGAUGAAGUCUGGGUGGAGUCUUCCCGCAGCUGGAGUCGGAGACGAGAUCUGGUUCCCGUAAAAGCCCGGGCGAAGUCCACCUGCAAUCAAAGUCAGGGGCGAAGUCCGGCUCCCUUAG